ACAUCACUUCACCACCCUGACAACUGACCCCCCCCCCCCCCCCCACCCUCUCCUCCCUGUUGCCUGGGCAACAAGAACAUUGAAGGUACACUGAAGUAUUUCCGAAGAGGUUUUAUGUUUCUGUUGUUAGUUUUCUGAAAUAGAAAAAGAAAGAUAACAUUUUACUUUGUUUUUUCAAACUUUAGUUUAAAACAACACAAAUAUAACAAAAUAAAAACUAAAAUGAGAAGAAAAAAAUACUACAGAAACUACUGAAGACUUUUUAUUUGUUUUGAAUUUAUUAUUAAAAGAGAUUGUAUUUUAAAGUUGUUUUCAUUAAUCCAUUCAUGCUGUUAGCUUCAUAGAUGAGUUUGCUUGUUGUUGGGGGUAUCUAUUAGUUUUCAGAUACUGUAAUACUGGGUAUCAUUUAAAAAAACGUGUAUUUUUUAUGGGUGUUUUUAGAUGUGUUAUAGUUCUGUUCUGGAACAUGGCCUGUCACUUCACUGUCUCCUCCAGCAGACUAAGACUGAAUUGUUUUAUUUUAUCAUGUUGUUGUUGUUGUUGUUGUUGUUCUGUACUUUAUUCUAAUUGUUUGUAAUUGCUUGAUUCUCACAUGGUGAACAAAUAUGGACAAAGGCGUUUAUUAUUUUGUAUUGCUCUGCCCUAACACUCUCUAGCGCUAGCAUAUGCUACGUACGCUAAGCUAACUGCUAAACUAGCAUAUGCUACGUGCUAAGCUAACUGUUAAACUAGCAUAUGCUACGUGCUAAGCUUACCGAAACACCCUGUUAGCUUUAUGCUAAGCUUACCGAAACACCCUGUUAGCUUUAUGCUAAGCUAGCAGCAUCACACUCCGCUGAGCUUCAACCGACUGUAAAGCCUUUCUACCGCAGUGCCUUUCUACUAGAGAUCUGUGUCUCUCUGGGUUCGACUAUUGUGCCUUUCCACUAGCCCGGUCUUAUGAUCUCUGAGCUCAACUGCAGUGCCUGUUGAGUGGAAAUGUGCUUAACUCUCUACACUACACUAGCAUUUCACAGAAUUACUACAUGCCCAAUAGACUGCUUCGUUCUCAGCGGUAGCUGGUCGUUGGAACAGAGACUAUGGUCAGGAUUUAAUCCCAAACCGCUUGACGUUUAGAGGUCAUUUCCAAUUAGACCUUCCUCAUCUGAGGUGGAAUCAACCUUCCUCAUCUGAGGUGGAAUCGACCUUCCUCAUCUGAGGUGGAAGGUGACCUUCCUCAUCUGAGGUGGAAGGUGACCUUCCUCAUCUGAGGUGAAAUCGACCUUCCUCAUCUGAGGUGGGAAGGUGACAGAGCUACAGCGGUGUUUGUCAAGAGAUCGUGGUGAAACAUCCCUGUUGGUCUUCUCACAAAUACUUCUCUAGCGUCCUAACGAGUCAGAUUGGACCAUCUUAAAACAAUUCCAUAUGUAACCAGAUUGUACGAUUUAGUUAGUUUAGUUGGAACUCAGGGCCCUUAGACCCCUUUUUCUAACAGCUUUGUGAUGGGGAAUAUAAUUAUAUUGAAACUAACCUUCCAACUGGAACCAAGCCUUAGAGACACACACACAGGUUCUCUCUUCCCUCUGUAACUCCUGUCAGGCUGACUUGACCUGCUGGUAACUAACACACAUCAGCCUCCAGAUCCAACGUGAAAACAAUUGGAACUAAGCCUUAGAGACACAGACACAGGUUCUCUCUUCCCCCUCACAGUGUUCCUCUGUAACUCCUGUCAGGCUGACCUGACCUGCUGGUAACUAACACACAUCAGCCUCCAGAUCCAACGUGAAAACAAUUGGAACUAAGCCUUAGAGACACAGACACAGGUUCUCUCUUCCCCCUCACAGUGUUCCUCUGUAACUCCUGUCAGGCUGACCUGACCUGCUGGUAACUAACACACAUCAGCCUCCAACGUGAAAACAACUGGAACCAAGCCGUAGAGACACAGACACAGGUUCUCUCUUCCCUCUGUAACUCCUGUCAGGCUGACCUGACCUGCUAGUAACUAACACACAUCAGCCUCCACAUCCAACGUGAAAACAACAUCAAAAAAGCUGCUACACGAGGCUGACAAAUGUUUGUUUGUUGGGAGAGAAGAAGAAGAGAGAGAGAGAGAACCUCAAACUACAUGUUGCCGUCCUAGUAUCAC